UCGGGAAUUUUGGGCAAUGGGCGAAAGCCUGACCCAGCAACGCCGCGUGAGUGAAGAAGGCCUUCGGGUUGUAAAGCUCUUUCGGCGGGGACGAAACGGUCCGUGACAACACCACGGACUAAUGACAGUACUCGCAGAAGAAGCACCGGCUAACUACGUGCCAGCAGCCGCGGUAAUACGUAGGGUGCAGGCGUUAAUCGGAAUUACUGGGCGUAAAGCGUGCGCAGGCGGCUCCUUAAGUCAGAUGUGAAAUCCCCGGGCUUAACCUGGGAACUGCGUUUGAAACUGAGGGGCUAGAGUGUGGAAGAGGGGGGUGGAAUUCCAGGUGUAGCAGUGAAAUGCGUAGAGAUCUGGAGGAACACCGAUGGCGAAGGCAGCCCCCUGGGAUAACACUGACGCUCAUGCACGAAAGCGUGGGGAGCAAACAGGAUUAGAUACCCCCGUAGUCCCUGAGCGGGCUGGCAAGGCGCAU
rnacentral:rRNA from 1 species